rnacentral:rRNA from 1 species
GUGGAUGAGGCAUGCAAGUCGAACGGAAUAAUAGCUUCGGUUAUUAUUUAGUGGCGGAAGGGUUAGUAAUACAUGGAUAAUUUGUUCUUAACUUGGGAAUAACGACUGGAAACGGUCGCUAAUACCGAAUGUGGUAUGUUUAGGCAUCUAAAUUAUAUUAAAGAAGGGGAUCUUCGGACCUUUCGGUUGUGAGAAAGUCUAUGGGAUAUCAGCUUGUUGGUGGGGUAAUGGCCUACCAAGGCUACGACGUCUAGGCGGAUUGAGAGAUUGACC